UGCUUAUUGAAAACACACGAAGCUUGUAAAUAUAAAAUUAGAGGGUAGAAAAAUUUUAAAUAUAUUUACAUUUAAAGGUUAAUUGUGUUUCAUGCUCAAGUAUUGCUUUGGCCAAAAAUAAAUAUAUGUUUAAAGGUCUAUUUACACUUGCAAUUUUUGCUGCGAUUUUAGGUGCGAUUUUCGUCUUCUGAUGGAUGUGAACGAGUGGAUGAGUAUGAAUGUUCCGAGUAUAUGUACCUUCAUCUCAACAUUCAUAAUUCUUCCGCUGAUUCACAUCCAUCAA